rnacentral:rRNA from 1 species
ACGGAAGGCAGCAGUGAGGAAUAUUGGUCAAUGGGCGGAAGCCUGAACCAGCCAAGUCGCGUGAAGGAUGAAGGUAUUAUGUAUUGUAAACUUCUUUAGCUGUGGAGCAAUAAUCGCCAUGUAUGGCGAGAUGAGAGUACACAGAGAAUAAGGAUCGGCUAACUCCGUGCCAGCAGCCGCGGUAAUACGGAGGAUCCGAGCGUUAUCCGGAUUUAUUGGGUUUAAAGGGUGCGCAGGCGGCUUUCUAAGUCAGUGGUUAAAUAGCGGUGCUCAACGCCGUCCCGCCAUUGAUACUGGAGAGCUUGAUUGCGGUCGAGGUUUGCGGAAUUCGUCGUGUAGCGGUGAAAUGCAUAGAUAUGACGAAGAACACCGAUUGCGUAGGCAGCAGACCAGUCCGUAAAUGACGCUCAUGCACGAAAGUGCGGGGAUCAAACAGGAUUAGAUACCCUGGUA